rnacentral:rRNA from 1 species
GAUGAACGCUGGCGGCGUGCCUAAUACAUGCAAGUCGAACGCUGAAGGAAGGAGCUUGCUCUUUCCGGAUGAGUUGCGAACGGGUGAGUAACGCGUAGGUAACCUGCCUGGUAGCGGGGGAUAACUAUUGGAAACGAUAGCUAAUACCGCAUAACAGUAGAUGUUGCAUGAUAUCUACUUAAAAGGUGCAAUUGCACCACUACCAGAUGGACCUGCGUUGUAUUAGCUAGGUGGUGAGGUAACGGCUCACCAAGGCGACGAUACAUAGCCGACCUGAGAGGGUGAUCGGCCACCCUGGGACUGGGACACGGCCCAGACUCCUUCGGGAGGGAGGCGUAGGGAAUCUUCGGCAAUGGACGGAAGUCUGACCGAGGAACGCCGCGGGAGUGAAGAAGGGUCUCGGAUCGUUAAGCUCUGUUGUAAGAGAAGAACGAGUGUGAGAGUGGAAAGUUCACACUGUGACGGUACCUGACCAGAAAGGGACGGCUAACUACGUG